AUUGAACGCUGGCGGAAUGCUUUACACAUGCAAGUCGAACGGCAGCACGGACUUCGGUCUGGUGGCGAGUGGCGAACGGGUGAGUAAUAUAUCGGAACGUGCCCAGUCGUGGGGGAUAACGUAGUGAAAAUUACGCUAAUACCGCAUACGAUCUAUGGAUGAAAGCGGGGGAUCGCAAGACCUCGCGCGAUUGGGGCGGCCGAUAUCAGAUUAGGUAGUUGGUGAGGUAAAGGCUCACCAAGCCGACGAUCUGUAGCUGGUCUGAGAGGACGACCAGCCACACUGGAACUGAGACACGGUCCAGACCCCUACGGGAGGCAGCAGUGGGGAAUUUUGGACAAUGGACGCGAGUCUGAUCCAGCCAUUCCGCGUGCAGGACGAAGGCCUUCGGGUUGUAAACUGCUUUUGUACAGAACGAAAAGGUCUCUAUUAAUACUAGGGGCUCAUGACGGUACUGUAAGAAUAAGCACCGGCUAACUACGUGCCAGCAGCCGCCGUAA
rnacentral:rRNA from 1 species